AUGGCUUCUGGCUUUGCUCCUGACAUCUGGCAGUGGAUCAGGAGCCUCCCCGGGCAAUGGAGGGCAGACGAAUCCCACUCUCUCCAGAUAUGCAGUUCUCCAUCCACAAACCAAUCCCUCAACCUCGUAGUCACCAGACAAUCUGAGGAAACCCAUCCCUUCAGUUUGUCUUUCUCCAUCUGUGACGGGUCCCGUGACCACGAUCCAGUCUCGCUCUGGAGCUCCCAUUAUUCCAAGCUGAAACCUGCGAACACCACAGACGUUGCGGCCCAGUUCUUGCUCGAGAUCGUCUGCGGGGUGCUCAGGUACGGGCCUUACUCUAGCAGCAGGGCCAUCUUCAGGCUACCGGCCGUGCAUGUGUCCGAAGGUUCGGGCAAGAUCCUCAGCCUGUCCGUCCUGGCCCUGGCGUUCCUGGUCUGCAUCUACGAGGCCCCGUCCACGCCCCGGCGGGAGUUCAUCGGCGCGAUCACCGCACGGCUGACGCGCGACGAGAUGCGCCACGCAGCGAGGGAGCUUAUGCUGGCCCUCGGGUCCGACCUGGAGGAGCAGUGGAUGCGGUCGCUGAAUCUGGGCGUCACCAACUGGGCCUUGGAGGCUCUCCGGUCAGGCGCCGGCACGUCGUCCCCGCUGCGUUUCGCGGUGUUCUCCUAUGCUCUGUCGGCGAGCAGGCUAUGGAAGGUCCAGCUGUACUGCCCAGUCGUGGCCAUGACCCAGCAGCAGCAGCACCAGCUGGUCAAAGACGAGAGACUGCUCUUCUCGCUCAACUACCAGCAGCUCGAGAGCGUCAUCCAGUUCACGUACAGAGUCGCGUUCCAGGAGAACUGGAUCGACGUCGCCGUCAACGUCGACAACAUACGGUGCGACGUGAUACAGCUGGUGUCCGAGACUCUCAUGGCGAGGCAAGGCCACGGCUCCGACGAGAAGCACUUCCCGUCGCGCAUAUCGCUGCAGCUCACGCCCAUGGCGCAGUCGGACAUCCUCUCGCUCUCCGUGAGCAGGUCCACGGACAACCCCGUCCAGGAGGUCGGCACCGACAAGGGCAUCGACACGACGCUCGCCGCCGCACCGGCGUCGAUCGGCAUCAGCGUGUCGGCGCACGAGACGGUGACCAGGACCAUGAAGCCCUGGAAGUUCGAGCACUCGGUGCACGGUAACACGGCGUCACUGAACUGGUUCCUCCACGGCAGCGGCGGCGGGGGCAGGGAGGUCUUCUCCAGCGACCCGCCCAAGCUGGAGCUCUUCCAGCCGAGGUCCUGGUUCAGGAACCGGUACACCAGCCCCAGCAGGCCCUUCACCAGAAGCGGAGGAGUCAUCUUUGCCGGCGACGAGUACGGGGAGGGCGUGUGCUGGAGGAUGUGCGCGGCCGCAGCCGGCAAGACCAUGGAGUGGGAGAUCAAGGGCAGGAUAUGGGUCACCUACUGGCCAAACAAGAAGAGGACGCUGCAUACGGAGACCAGGAGGCUCGAGUUCAGAGAGCUGCUGCAUCUCACCAUUGGAGAGUAG
rnacentral:rRNA from 1 species